rnacentral:rRNA from 1 species
UACGUAGGGUGCAAGCGUUAAUCGGAAUUACUGGGCGUAAAGCGUGCGCAGGCUGUUUUGUAAGUCAGAUGUGAAAUCCCCGAGCUCAACUUGGGAACUGCGUUUGAAACUACAAGACUAGAAUAUGUCAGAGGGGGGUAGAAUUCCACGUGUAGCAGUGAAAUGCGUAGAGAUGUGGAGGAAUACCAAUGGCGAAGGCAGCCCCCUGGGAUAAUAUUGACGCUCAUGCACGAAAGCGUGGGGAGCAAACAGG